rnacentral:rRNA from 1 species
GACGAACGCUGGCGGCGUGCUUAACACAUGCAAGUCGAACGGAAAGGCCCUGCUUUUGUGGGGUUCUCGAGUGGCGAACGGGUGAGUAACACGUGAGUAACCUGCCCUUUACUUUGGGAUAACUUCAGGAAACAGGGGCUAAUACCGGAUAGGAGCUCCUGCUGCAUGGUGGGGGUUGGAAAGUUUCGGCGGUUGGGGAUGGACGCGCGGCUUAUCAGCUUGUAGGUGGGGUAGUGGCUUACCAAGGCUUUGACGGGUAGCCGGCCUGAGAUGGUGACCGGCCACAGUGGGACUGAGAUGCGGGCCGGACUCCUACGGGGGGCAGCAGUGGGAGAUAGUGCACAAUGGGCGGAAGCCUGAAGCAGCAACGCCGCGUGCGAGAUGACGGCCUUCGGGUUGUAAACCGCUUUCGCCUGUAAAGAAGCGUGAGUGACGGUAAUGAGUAAGAAAGCAACGGCUAACUACGUG